CCGAAUCUUCAUUCUUGCUCACACUGGUAGAUCGAGUUCUAAAAAGGUUUUGAUUGAUUGUGUAAAAGUCUAAAAAGCAAAAAAAAAAUUAGGCGUAGGGCAUGGAUCAAGAAGCAGCAAGAAGUGCGCGGGAUUCUCUGGACUUAGCGUUUCACAUGUCUAACAUUCUCGAAACUGGUUUGGAUCGCCACACUCUUUCGAUUCUGAUCGCUCUCUGUGAAAUGGGUAUCAACCCAGAAUCUUUGGCCGCCGUAGUUAAGGAGCUUCGUAGAGAAUUGCCGCCUCCUUCUUCCGCCGAGACAGCAACAUAAACCAGGUAUUGCUGAAUUAGUUCUUAUUUUAUUUUAUUUUAUUUUAUUUUUCUUUUGCGUGUGUGUGUAUUUUAAAGGGGUAGAUUAGUUUUGUUAUAUGUCCAUACUAUUAAGCAUAAUCCGUCCCACUGUGAGAAAGGAUGAUUUUGAGUAAAUUUUAUUGCGCCUAAAUUUUCUAUUUGCAUCUAUACGUCAUGAAGAAAUCAAAAUAUUGGGACGGAUUAUCCAAAAAUGGCUGCUUCGUCAUUAUAUAAUGUGGCCUUGCUGCUGUAAUCUUAAUUAGCUCUCACAUCCCUGGUGUUACUUUUGCACAUUUCGAACAAGUUUUUCUAGAAAACAAAAUCCAUAGUUUUCUAAGCGAAACUAUACAACAAUAGUUAUAUGAAGUUCCUAGAUCCAUUGCCGCAAUCAAAAUUUGUGUUCUGCCACAGACAGCCACUUCCUAGUAAGUUUCAUUCGAAAAUAUUUAGGCGUGACACCAAUAGUUCCAUCUCUUAGUUGUAGUUGUAGUAGCAUGCAUUUGACUUUCCUUCUGUUUUUCGUCCAAAUUGCAGGGUGGCCUCUCGGCAGGGACGGAGCCAGGAAUUAAUUUCGGGGGGGGGCUGAAACUGGUAUUUUUUUUAUUAAAAUACGAGCAUAAUACUAAUAAUAACGAACAAUAUUUUCAUAGAUUAUAUAGUUUCAAUAUAUCACAAAACUUUUUUUGGACAUUCCGUAUAUUUAACACAUUUUUUAUUAAAAGGAAAGCAUAAUAAUAGUAACAAACAACAUGUUCAUAGAUUAUAUAUUUUCUAUAUAUUACAAAUUAGUUUCAAUACAUUAUAAUUUUUUUUUAGCAUUUCAUACAUAUUAGGCAUUUUUUAUUAAAAGAUAAGUAUAAUAGUAAUAAUAACAAAUAAUAUUUCAUAGAUUAUAUAGUUUUAAAUAACGGAAUUAUCCUUAAAUUAAGUAUAUAUAUGAGAGAAUAUAAUAACUAAAUACUCUUUUAUUAAACAAAAAUAUUUUAUAAUAGGUAUAAACAUAUAUCUAUAUAUAUAUUUUAAAUUUAAAAAAAAAAACAAAAAAAAACAAAACAAAACUCAAAAUUUGGGAGGGGGCUCUAGCCCCCCCUGGCUCCGUCUAUGCCUCUCGGUUGUUGUAUGAAGAAGAAGAUGACUUGGAAGCAAAGGUUACUCUGCUGCAUUUUACUUUGCAAUGGUUUAAGUUUUCUUGUAAUGUAGUAAGAACGAAAAAACAAGGCAAAUUUUUUUGCUACAGCCGUCGUGUACUAUUAUUUUGGAUUACAAAUUUAACAUGUAAUCAAUGAUAUGAUAUAAUAGUAUAGAUGGUUGGCAACUAAAUAGGCUUCAGAUAAUGUAUUCUAAAAAUAUUCUAAUACUACUAUAUAAAAAUUUAAUGCGAUUUCUUAAAGAUGAUAUUAUUUGU
rnacentral:lncRNA from 1 species